rnacentral:rRNA from 1 species
CGGAGGAAAAGAAACUAACAAGGAUUCCCCUAGUAGCGGCGAGCGAAGCGGGAAGAGCUCAAAUUUAUAAUCUGGCACCUUCGGUGUCCGAGUUGUAAUCUCUAGAAGUGUUUUCCGCGUUGGACCGCACACAAGUCUGUUGGAAUACAGCGGCAUAGUGGUGAAACCCCCGUAUAUGGUGCGGACGCCCAGCGCUUUGUGAUACACUUUCAAUGAGUCGAGUUGUUUGGGAAUGCAGCUCAAAUUGGGUGGUAAAUUCCAUCUAAAGCUAAAUAUUGGCGAGAGACCGAUAGCGAACAAGUACCGUGAGGGAAAGAUGAAAAGCACUUUGGAAAGAGAGUUAACAGUACGUGAAAUUGUUGGAAGGGAAACGCUUGAAGUCAGACUUGCUUGCCGGAGCUUGCUUCGGUUUGCAGGCCAGCAUCAGUUUUCCGGGGUGGAUAAUAACGGUUUGAAGGUAGCAGUCUCGGCUGUGUUAUAGCUUUCCGUUGGAUACAUCCUGGGGGACUGAGGAACGCAGCGUGCUUUUUGCGAAAGACUCGUCUUUUUCACGCUUAGGAUGCUGGUGGAAUGGCUUUAAACGACCCGUCUUGAAACA